rnacentral:rRNA from 1 species
UAGGGAAUCUUCGGCAAUGGACGGAAGUCUGACCGAGCAACGCCGCGUGAGUGAAGAAGGUUUUCGGAUCGUAAAGCUCUGUUGUAAGAGAAGAACGAGUGUGAGAGUGGAAAGUUCACACUGUGACGGUAUCUUACCAGAAAGGGACGGCUAACUACGUGCCAGCAGCCGCGGUAAUACGUAGGUCCCGAGCGUUGUCCGGAUUUAUUGGGCGUAAAGCGAGCGCAGGCGGUUAGAUAAGUCUGAAGUUAAAGGCUGUGGCUUAACCAUAGUACGCUUUGGAAACUGUCUAACUUGAGUGCAAGAGGGGAGAGUGGAAUUCCAUGUGUAGCGGUGAAAUGCGUAGAUAUAUGGAGGAACACCGGUGGCGAAAGCGGCUCUCUGGCUUGUAACUGACGCUGAGGCUCGAAAGCGUGGGGAGCAAACAGGAUUAGAUACCCUGGUAGUCCAUGCCGUAAACGAUGAGUGCUAGGUGUUAGACCCUUUCCGGGGUUUAGUGCCGUAGCUAACGCAUUAAGCACUCCGCCUGGGGAGUACGACCGGAAGGUUG